ACGUUGAGGUGUGAACGGUCCCUUACAAAGAACUGCUGGGACCCUCAGGCCCAUGCACCUGGGCCCCGGGCUCCCUCGGUCCCUGACAGGUGGCCUGUCACUCGCCCUUUUUAUCAGACCGUUCAGCUGAAGAUCUGCCUCCCUUAGUUCACCCUGAAGGGAGACUCACCUCAUGUAGGUCCUUUUUGAUUCCCUUUUGCUCUUUCAAACAUCUCUUUUCUCGUACUUGCUGCUGGUUAAUCCUGUCGUCUUUUUUGAGUAUUUCUGUGCCAUGGAUAGUUUUCUUGGGAACUUGUUGACCAAAUAACCAAGGUUUCCCUUGAGGGUGGCUUCAGAUUUUGUAUGUGGCGUUUUCUUUGGCCAUUUUUUGGACCUGCACAUAGGACCCUCACGCCUGGCCACACACCUGGCCUCACGCUGACUGAUUCCCUGACCACCACGCAGGUAAAGCACAGCCCUGUCCUGGAGUCAGUCCAUUCCCGUGUCACAAGGCGGCAUUCGCUGGCAGUGAGGGUGUCCUGGCUGGUGAGUCCCAGCAGCUCCGGCCCUGGCCUGUGGCAUCUAAAUGUUUCUCUUGCCCUUUAAGAGAAAGUCUGCUGGCCCCUGUGUAACCUCGUAUUGCCUAGAGAAAAAUUCAGACACGUUUGUGUCUUGGCAUGACUUAGUCUGAAUAGUACCCGACGGAGUAAGAAGUAAAAUCAUUUCCGUUUUUCUACAGUAAAUUUUGUUGGCACCAAAAUGGUUGAUUUUCUUGACUAUUUUAAAAACACAAAGUAGGUUUACAGUUUCUGUUUAGAACUGAAUUGUCUGUUAAAACGUUUUCUCCUGUUGCAGUGUUGAAUAUGAGACGUUUGACAUAUUGGAGGAUGAGGAGGUGCGGCAGGGACUGAAGACCUUCUCCAACUGGCCCACGUACCCGCAGCUGUAUGUGAAAGGGGAGCUGGUCGGAGGGCUGGACAUCGUUAAGGAACUGAAAGAAAACGGCGAAUUGCUGCCUACACUGAACGGAGGAAAUUAAUAACAGUUAAGCGUGGUGCCCAACUCGUGCAGGAAAUACUUCGCUACAGCCGAGCGGCUCGCGGCCAGGCCUCCCCACGGACGCGGGAGGAAAGGCCCCUCCCGUCGCUGUGCCCCACAAAGCCGUGCUAAAGACCUGUGUUACCAUUUCCCCACCCAAACUAGAGCGCAAUAAACCAGUGAAAAGCACGGUG